GGGAAUCGGACGGGGGAUGAACAUUCCGCCUGUCCAUGCGUCGUCUGGGCCCGCUGCUAUAAGCUCUUCAUAUCCAUUUGGCAUCUGUGAGGUAUAGGUAUAAGAGAGUGAAUGUGUAGUUCGCCGACCCUGCUAGUAUAGGAGCUCGGAUCCUAUGUGGCCGCCAUAAAACACCCUAUAGUGAGCCUCUGUACGCUAUGGCAGCCCUGGAACCCUCUCCCAGCACGCCUCUUCUGCACACAAUCAUUCUCUUAUGAUUCGCAAGACUUCUGCACUCGAUUUGGACUAACUUACUGUUAAGCCUACUUGUACCUGGUCUAAGCAAACAAUUAGAUGGAAGAAUAAAACAAAGAAGAUCGUUCAGAAGGUGCUGGAUCAGCUGGGUUGUGAUGACUAGGCCUAUGUGCUCACCUGUUGGUGUCGACGUGGACUGAUAUAGCCCUCUAGGCCACGCCGCCCUAGUAUCCAUCCAUCCAUUACAUGCGGGGCCUGGAUGUAUAACCCAGAUAUUCGUCGUCAUAAUUGGAAAAAUCAAGAAAACAAUCGUAUAGUGUACCUUUUAGAGCUGUCCGCAUACAUAUAUGCAUGAAGAGGAAAAACAGUAGUCACAGAUGGUUUUAAUGUUGUCAAGAUACUGGCAUAAGAUUUUAGGAAAAUUUGUAAGAUGGAUAGGACCAUGGCCAGAAAAGAAGUGUUACAAUCUUUCUCUUGAGGGUUGGUUUCCUCCAAAAGUUGCAGAAACUUUAGUCAGUGGUAAAAACAAUCAGUUUUUGCCCGACUUGGCAAAUACAAGUGUGAAAUAUGACCCUGAGCAUGAGAUGACAGAGGCUGAGGUGAAGCACAUCAAACUAACUCCUGUACCUGAAAUUUCGACUGAGAAGAUCAGAAAGAAGUUUGCCUUGCUCCUCUCCUUCAAUGGUCAAGGAUACCAUGGCUUGCAAACGAAUACGUGUACCCAUACUAUUGAAAAGGAUUUAUUUGCAGCAAUGCAUGCUGCAGAUUUGAUCACUCGGCAAGAAUUGUUCAUACCUCAACUUUAUUUCUACCAGCGUUCUUCUCGAACUGAUAAGGGUGUGUCUGCAGCUAGACUGUUGGUGUCUGCAUCCCUUCCUGUUGUGCCUAACGUGGACGAGGAAAUCAACAAACACCUUUGUGACCAGAUUCGUGUGAUGGCCGUGUAUCGUGUUUAUGAAGGAUUUAACUGUAAAAUAUGGUGUGAUUCCCGUACUUAUUCAUACUUGUGUCCUACUUUUGCCUUUGCCCCUUAUUCAGAGAGAGUAUGUGAGGAUUAUCGAAUCAGCCAGGAAGUUUUAGAAGAUCUCAGAAAGUUGCUGCAUAUGUAUAAAGGCCGUCACAAGUUUCACAAUUUCACUUCUCAUGUAAAAUGCCAUAGUGCUCGUGCUUGGCGCAAUAUUAUUGAUAUAGACUGUGGUCAGCCAUUUGAGCGUGAUGGCUUAGAAUGGCUCUCCAUCAAAAUAACAGGUGAGAGCUUCUUGUUACACCAAAUUCGUAAGAUGAUUGCUUUAACGAUAGCAAUUUGCCGAGGACUGACUACAUAUGACACAAUCACAAGAGCAUUUGAAGAUGGGAAAAUGGACAUCCCUCUUGUGCCAGCUAAUGGCUUGGUUCUUGAUGAUCAACAUUUUAAUGAAUAUAACAGGAAAUAUGCACGUAUCCUUGAGCCUCUCAACUGGGACAAGGCAGAAAAGAAAAUCCAAAAGUUUCGUGAGCAGAAUAUUGACUUGAUAAUUUUCACUAAAGAAAUCAAGGAGAAGGAAAUGCUUAAAUGGCUAAUUAAUCCACAUUUCUUCACUUAUCACUUGUGUACUUCCCCGUCAAAAGAGGAGAAUGAAAUUGAUGAACCAAAUUCACAGGCAACAUCUCUUUGGCUUGCACAAAAAAAAUGUUAUAUAGACUGUUUUAGCAAAUCCAAACACCAGAAACAAAAAUGUUAUGAUGAGGAUGAAGACAAAAAUAGAUGAUUUCUGUUCUGAAGUGGACUAUUAUAUUAACAAGCCCCUGACUGAAAAUGGUUAUAGAAUCCAUAAGGCAACGUCGGCAACAGACAGCUGGUAUCAAGGCAUUAUGAAGGUAAGAAACAAACUGGAAUGUCAAACAGUCGGCUCGCCAGUGACCUUAGAAUUAGCUAUCUUAUGGUAAGAGAACAAAUACAGCUUUGUUUAUUUUCUAAUGUUAGCUGAUGUACAGGUGAAAACUACCAAUUUUUAAGCUAGUACUCAACAUAAAGAACUAAUGAAACUAAUUAUAAAAGUGAGUUGAAUGGUAUAAUUUGCUGAAGAAUUAACUAAGCAAUUAUUACAACAGUAAAUGUGAGCAGUAAUAAUGUGCCAUUUCCAAUAAAAAAUACUGUAUACAUCUUUAAUAACAUGACCUGAAUCUAUUCUUGUAAUAUAAGAAUACACGGUAGUUUUUUAUAUCUAUAUACAGUAUAAAGGUAGUUCUGAUUGAUUUCAUUCAGUUGUGUUAAAAGUCUGGAAAGUCUGACCUAGGUAUUAAUAAUCUCGCAUUGCAUGCUCACAUUCUCCUUUAUAAUGACGUUCCUCUUGGCAAAAUAUGUAGAGUAAUACCUUAGUAAGUUGGUAAUUCCCUAGACCCACAUCAACUGAUUAUUUUUAACAAUAUUAAAAUUCUCUUAUAUACUGUAUUUUAUAAAUUUG
rnacentral:misc_RNA from 1 species